UUUAAGGAUAUCUAAACGCUUUCAAAUUGUUACUAUUCAUAAUGAAAAGGGGAUUGAACAGAUGGGUACAAUUGUAUGUCAAGCAUGUGAUUCAACAAUUGAUCAUUUCGAAGAUGAAAAAGUAACGGUUCUUUAUUCAAGAUGUAAUUGCUGCGAUGGAAAUCAUUCAGAAGAAGAAGUA
rnacentral:sRNA from 1 species